rnacentral:rRNA from 1 species
UGGGGAAUAUUGCACAAUGGGCGCAAGCCUGAUGCAGCCAUGCCGCGUGUAUGAAGAAGGCCUUCGGGUUGUAAAGUACUUUCAGCGGGGAGGAAGGUGUUGUGGUUAAUAACCACAGCAAUUGACGUUACCCGCAGAAGAAGCACCGGCUAACUCCGUGCCAGCAGCCGCGGUAAUACGGAGGGUGCAAGCGUUAAUCGGAAUUACUGGGCGUAAAGCGCACGCAGGCGGUCUGUCAAGUCGGAUGUGAAAUCCCCGGGCUUAACCUGGGAACUGCAUCCGAAACUGGCAGGCUUGAGUCUUGUAGAGGGGGGUAGAAUUCCAGGUGUAGCGGUGAAAUGCGUAGAGAUCUGGAGGAAUACCGGUGGCGAAGGCGGCCCCCUGGACAAAGACUGACGCUCAGGUGCGAAAGCGUGGGGAGCAAACA